GAUAAGGAGGUCAAUCACGAAACUAUCAUACUACUGGGAAGCUCAAUUCGAACCAACAGAGUUAACCCAUUGCAAGUUGUCCAACUCUCCUGGCGACCAAGGGUGUUCUUGUAUAAAGGCNNNNNNNNAAUGUGAUCAUGUUAUUUCUUUGGCACAAGGUGCAAAAGAAGCAUCUAUGGGAAAGGGUGAUGAUUCAGCAAAAAUUGUUGAGAAGGGGCUACAUGCAAAUUCAGAAUUUCUUUUAAACAUGGAUGAUAAUCUACUUGCAAGGAUUGAGGAGAGACUUUCAGCGUGGACUUUCCUUCCCAAAGAGAAUGGGAAGCCCCUACAGGUCAUGCAUUAUGGGGUCGAAGACGCCAAACAGAAGUUUGAUUAUUUUGGCAACAGAUUAUUGAUUUUGAAUGAGCCUUUGAUGGCAACCCUAGUUUUAUAUCUCGCAAAUGUCAGUCAGGGUGGCGAGAUCCUCUUCCCCAAG
rnacentral:misc_RNA from 1 species